rnacentral:rRNA from 1 species
UAUGUUAAUUAUUUGAUUAAGAUUGAUCCUGUCUUUGAAUUAUUAAUAGUUAGCUUUAUGGAUUAUAUUAAAUAUAAAUUUUUGUGUGGUUUAAUUAUUUGUCUAAAGGACAAAUAUGUCAUUUAUAUUUGUAGUUUUUAAUUUUGAGUUUUGUGUAAAUACAGAUUCAGUAAAUUUAUUUAGAAUUGUUUAAGGUUGUGCCAGCAUACGCGGUUACACAUCCGAUUCAUGUUAACUUUUUUGGUUUUUAUUUAUUAUAUAUUUUGAAAAUUAAUUUUUGUUUAUAAAGUGAAAUUUUAAUAUUAAUUAUAUUUUUUUGGUUUUAGAUAAUAAGAAAUUUAGAAUUUAAACUAGGAUUAGAUACCCUAUUAUUCUAAGUGUAAAAAUUUAACCAUAGUAUUAAUAGUUAUGAUCUUUAAAUUAAAAGGA